AUAUUUUGUUUAAACAAUCUCUUUAUUGCCAAAGAAUAGACUUCUAUGACCUUUUUAAAGUUAGAUUUGAAUUUUUAAACUGGAUCUUUACCCCUACCUACAAUUCAUCUGCAAUUCACAAUUUUUGUUUGUGUAAAUAAGUCAUAGUGAAGCAUAUUACUUUCUGGUCAGAUAAUUGAUAGUUAUAUUCUGGUUUUGAUUUUUAAGAAAAACAUUACAAGACUUUUAUCAAUAUUAAAAUAAAAACUGCUUCAUAUAUUUAGAUAUUGUCAAUUGCAUGUCUAGAAAAUAACGACCUCUUAAAAAAAAAAACUCAAAGAACAUGAAUUGAAGUGCAGUUAUCAUGACCUUUGACUAGUGAUAUUCCAAAAGAAUUACCAUAACUAUUUGACCAUUGUGCUACAUUAUAUGUACAUACAAAUACAUAGAUAUUUAUAUACACACACAUAUAUACACACACAAUGUGUAUAUUGAUAUUCAUUCUGAAACAUUUGUUGAUCUCUUUUAUGUGGUCAGUUCUCUUCACUCAGAAAAGAGUUAAUGAUAAUAUAAGUAAAAAUUAUUUAUUUUUAAAAGCUAACUUUUUAUUUAAAAUAUACUCAUGGUUAUCUUAUGUGAGGGGGAAGCAAUUUCACUUAACAGAAAUGUAGUUCCUUUUUGAUUUUCCAGCAGUGUUGAUGUAUUUGCUGACAUGUGACAGUUUCAAAAUUAUAAGCCACUCACUGAACCAGAUGCAAUAUUCAUGUAGAUUUAUCUGCACUUGUCUGUUUGAAUCAUACCCAUAUUCAGAAAAUCAUUCAUGUCUCAUUUUUCAGUACUAUAUUCAGAAUUCUUUUGUAUUCUUUCAGACUGCUGUUCUUCAUGAUAUAUGGUACAUAUACCUGGUCUGGAUUCAGGAGAAAUGGAAGCAAUUGGAGCCAUGCUGUUCUAUUUUCUCAACAGCCAACAACUCAACGAUAACAGUACCAAUGAUAUGCAUUUGAGAAAGUGAAGCUUGAAAGAUAAAUUAUCCAGAGUUACACAGGUUGGCUGAGUGUAUAGUUAUUCCUUAGCAAAAUUUUGAAAUCAUGCUCCAUUGUCACCUAUGAUUGCUAAUAUUUGAUGUUAGUGAUUUUCAUUUCAAUGAAUCUAACCUCCAUUUUUCUCUCUUUUUGAAAAUGAGUUAUAGGUCCACAGGUUGACAUUAUCCUCUUGAAGAAAUGGAACAAUACUCCCCAGGUGGUUACUUGACGACAACAGAAGCAUUAGAAGACUCUCUAAAGCAAUUUAAAAGUUAUCCUUUUCCGGGGAUUCACUCAAACGGUCUGCAAAAUAAAAAUUCCUGACUGCAAAGAUCCAAAAUUACUAAUUGAAGGAUAUUUUGGUGUGAUGUGUCCUAUAACCCAUCCCAAGCAGUUGUUGGAUGAGUUUUCAUCUGUGUGAGACCUCUUUGAGAACGUAAUAUCCAAAGAUAGCUGCUAUCAAUUCCUUCCUCCUGGAAUAUACAAGUUCUUCCUCACGUCAAAAGGAAAGACAGUAAACAUUUCAAGAGAAAUUAUUUGCCUACACAGUACCAGAACUAGCCUGAUUUAAAAGUGAUGUCACAGGCAAUAAUCAUCCCUGCUAGCUUACAUCACCCACCAUAGGAAUGGGAAAUAACUCAGCUCACCCGAGCAGCUAUAUUCAUGAUCCUCCUCAAUGUCAAACCAUAUCUGCUCUCUAUUGUUUGAGAGUUAUUUUGACCUCUGAUACAUAGCAUCCAUUCACUCUAUGUCUGGUAAGUAAACAGAAAUGCUU